rnacentral:rRNA from 1 species
GAUGAACGCUGGCGGCGUGCCUAAUACAUGCAAGUCGAGCGAACGGACGAGAAGCUUGCUUCUCUGAUGUUAGCGGCGGACGGGUGAGUAACACGUGGAUAACCUACCUAUAAGACUGGGAUAACUUCGGGAAACCGGAGCUAAUAACGGAUAAUAUUUUGAACCGCAUGGUUCAAAAGUGAAAGACGGUCUUGCUGUCACUUAUAGAUGGAUCCGCGCUGCAUUAGCUAGUUGGUAAGGUAACGGCUUACCAAGGCAACGAUGCAUAGCCGACCUGAGAGGGUGAUCCGCCACACUGGAACUGAGACACGGUCCAGACUCCUACGGGAGGCAGCAGUAGGGAAUCUUCCGCAAUGGGCGAAAGCCUGACGGAGCAACGCCGCGUGAGUGAUGAAGGUCUUCGGAUCGUAAAACUCUGUUAUUAGGGAAGAACAGAUGUGUAAGUAACUGUGCACAUCUUGACGGUACCUAAUCAGAAAGCCACGGCUAACUACGUG